rnacentral:rRNA from 1 species
UCUCUCUCUCUCUCUUUUUUGUGCGCUUUUCUCCUCCUCCUUCUUAAGGUAGCUGUUGGGAGGGAGCCUUGAUAGCCUAGAGCUCUUCUUCUAUAUAGGUAGAAGCGACCGUGUAAUCCGUGCCGUCCGGGAGAGAGAGAGGGAGAGAGCACCGCACCUACAUGUACGGCGCGGUUGUCCUUUUCCUUUUUUUUUUGUGCGCUUUUCUCCUCCGCCUCCUUCUUAAGGUAGCUGUCGCGAGGGAGCCUUGAUAGCCUAGAGCCCUUCUUCUAUAUAGGUAGCGACCGUGGGCAGCAGAAGGAGGAGGCGGGCGGGGGUAGGGUAGAGGUAGGUUCGGUGUUAGGUGGCCGCUCGAGCGGUAAUUAGGGUGAGGUGAGCCGAGGUCCUCGCGGUCGCCGGAGGCCAGCUUCCUUCCAGGGGGAAGACGGGGGGCAAUUCUACUACGCCACGCGACACUCCCCGCCGCCACGAGUGCAGCAGUAGCCGCUCGCCUCCAGCGGCAGCAGCAGCAGCGGGCCGUCGCCUUCCUCGCAGCACGCCUACAGCCUCCCCGCGCCGCCCGAGACGACGCCGCCGCACUCCAGCGCGCGCCGCCUAGAGCGCCCCGAGCUCUACCCGUCCGGGUCGCGGCCGCGGCGCCCCGAGAAGGCCUCGUGCGCGAUGCCGGCGCACGCGCGGUGCCGGAGUCGACUGGGGCUCCUAUAAGGUAGACUGUUCGAAGUUCGAUUUAGAAGACCCUCACAAGACGGCAUGCAACCGCAACGAACGAACCCCCGUUAAGACAAACCGAUGGUAGAACCACACCAGUUACCGCGUGAACUUAUAGAGAGCUUUCUAGAACCCUAACGACUUUUACGACACAAUGUUCCUACCCACCAAUCGUGUUGGGACCGACCGCGCUGUCAUCCAAGAAAAUGACCUCCCCGAAACCGACUAUUUAAUCCCUCUUGUGCCUGUAAAUAGGAUCUACGUUAGGGAGAACGACAUCCGCGUAAGAACUCACGUUGUCGAGUUCUACAGGCAUGUUACUAAUAACCAGCUAAUGAACGACCCUAACCAUAACCCUAGAGAAGACGAGAACACGGGGAAAUGUAUAGACUCUAGAGUGGUUGACUUUAUGCACCUCGUGAACCAUGCUAAUUAGUCGACAAAUAGACGUAACCUUAAGAACGUCGAAACCAUCGACCUAACGGUAAUCGUGUUUUAGGACGUACCACCUCCUGUUACAAACCUUAAAGUUAUCAAGGUAGAUAAAACAACCGAGAUCCUUACCGACAAAGUGGACUUUCGGGAGCGACCGAUAAGGUCGUUCCUUUCUAAAGAGUUCGUCUUCGUCGAUAUUUUUUUAACAUACCCUUUCUCUUCCAAUGACUUCAGUACAUACUGGAUUUCCGAUCACCCGUUCCUAGAUUACUCGGUCUACGGUUGACCAAACUAGAUAAGUCGUUUGCGAUAACCUUUCAACACUCGCACCCUCGCCGUGACAAAAACAACGUCGUUGAACGACCGUAUUUACGACAACACAUGAUGAGAUGUAGUCACAAGGCGUCACGUCCGUAACGUAGACUACAACGUCGCUCACGAGAACAACCACGGCGGUUACAAAAACCAUGGUACUAACGUAGAAGUGACUACCUGUUCGUUCCCUCCUUCUCGGAAGAGUAUUGUUCGAAAAGACCUUACCGCCGCAGCUACAAUGAGAACAGUAACAGGAAGUGGACCUUCCGAAACCGUGGAAUAAGGCCGUGAGAACGACAACAACCGUGACAGGACAUACACGACAGUAAGCGAGAACCUCGACCGGGACAAGGUCGAAACGAGGAAGGACUUUAUAAACGGAGGUCUUAUUCCCGGUUCCGACAUCGUAAUAGUUACCCUUACGUGACCCAUAGUUUGAAGAAGUAGCCGGACAUGAAGGACUCGCAGCAGUUGUUCAAACCCUAGUCGUGGCACAUGAACCCUAAGCGCAGGCACACACGAGAGCGCCAGGACAUGUAACGGCCCUUACACCAGCUCUGGUUCCCCGCUAGGGACCUUCUCUAACUCGCCCUCGAUUCGGGUGGGUCAUUUCGGCUACGAUUACGAAAGAACCACUCACUAGUUACUCGUGGCUCGUGUUUGCAGGAGCCUGGAGCCCUACAACAGAGACGGAAAAUACAUCAAGGACUUUAUUCCCUCGGCGUUCCAGCGGACUGCGGUAAGUUUGGCCGGCCACGAGUCCCACAACACCGUGGUCAUUUCGAGUCGAUAAAGAACAGUGUAGAGUCUUAGUUUCUCGAAUACACGAUAACGAGGUCCUCCACGUUCUAAAUCCGAACGACGAUCAGGAACCUAGCCUACAGUAGCAAAAGUCACAUGUCUACUUGAGGAAUAUACACAGCCUUGAACCUUUAUUUUGAGGUUAAACGGCUUAAAGUUUCGCACUACACAUUAAUAUAAUGAAUGGUUAACUUUUACGGGAUAAAGUAUGACACAUUUACUCUAGAACUACGUCGCCAUUUAGCCAUCAUUAGGUAGGG